rnacentral:lncRNA from 1 species
GAUUGAUCUUCCACCCACUCAAAAACCAUCUUCCUGUGAGGAGAGAGCAUUCUCUGUACCACAGAAAGAAGCUAUGCUUCAGAAAGAACAUUUUGCUUUGCAAAGCCAGUGUGGAGAGAGAGAUACUGGGAACUUGCAGCACAUGAAAGUCAUGAAUGGAAAGCAACUUACCUGCGAAGCUGAAGAACUACAGGAACAACAGAGUCUUCAGCAUAUAUAUCCUGUUUAUCAGCACACAUAUUACAAAAAUUGGAGCAGCAGACACCCUCAAAGCUUGGGACCUGGGAGAGUCUACAUCAAUCCGAGGGAGCAUUAUGUAUGA